GGUCUGUAGAUAGUGUAGGUAAUAGGGUCUGUAGAUAGUGUAGGUAAUAGUAGGUAGUGUAGGUAAUAGUAGAUAGUGUAGGUAAUAGGGUCUGUAGAUAGUGUAGGUAAUAGGGUCUGUAGAUAGUGUAGGUAAUAGGGUCUGUAGAUAGUGUAGGUAAUAGUAGAUAGUGUAGGUAAUAGUAGAUAGUGUAGGUAAUAGUAGAUAGUGUAGGUAUUAGGGUCUGUAGAUAGUGUAGGUAAUAGUAGAUAGUGUAGGUAAUAGGGUCUGUAGAUAGUGUAGGUAAUAGUAGAUAGUGUAGGUAAUAGUAGAUAGUGUAGGUAAUAGUAGAUAGUGUAGGUAAUAGUAGAUAGUGUAGGUAAUAGUAGAUAGUGUAGGUAAUAGGGUCUGUAGAUAGUGUAGGUAAUAGGGUCUGUAGAUAGUGUAGGUAAUAGUAGAUAGUGUAGGUAAUAGUAGAUAGUGUAGGUAAUAGUAGGUAGUGUAGGUAAUAGUAGAUAGUGUAGGUAAUAGUAGAUAGUGUAGGCAAUAGUAGAUAGUGUAGGGAAUAGUAGAUAGUGUAGGGAAUAGUAGAUAGUGUAGGGAAUAGAGCCUGUAGGUAGUGUAGGUAAUAGUAGAUAGUGUAGGUAAUAGUAGAUAGUGUAGGUAAUAGAGCCUGUAGGUAGUGUAGGUAAAAGUAGAUAGUGUAGGUAAUAGUAGAUAGUGUAGGUAAUAGGGCCUGUAGAUAGUGUAGGUAAUCGUAGAUAGUGUAGGUAAUAGGGUCUGUAGAUAGUGUAGGUAAUAGUAGAUAGUGUAGGUAAAAGUAGAUAGUGUAGGUGAUAGUAGAUAGUGUAGGUAAUAGGGCCUGUAGAUAGUGUAGGUAAUCAUAGAUAGUAUAGGUAAUAGGGUCUGUAGAUAGUGUAGGUAAUAGUAGAUAGUGUAGGUAAUAGUAGAUAGUGUAGGUAAUAGUAGAUAGUGUAGGUAAUAGUAUAUAGUGUAGGUAUUAGGGUCUGUAGAUAGUGUAGGUAAUAGGGUCUGUAGAUAGUGUAGGUAAUAGUAGAUAGUGUAGGUAAUAGUAGAUAGUGUAGGUAAUAGUAGGUAGUGUAGGUAAUAGUAGAUAGUGUAGGUAAUAGUAGAUAGUGUAGGC
ensembl:lncRNA